rnacentral:rRNA from 1 species
CCUACGGGCCGCACCAGUGGGGAAUAUUGGACAAUGGGCGCAAGCCUGAUCCAGCCAUGCCGCGUGAGUGAAGAAGGCCUUAGGGUUGUAAAGCUCUUCCACCGGUGAAGAUAACGACGGUAACCGGAGAAGAAGCCCCGGCUAACUUCGUGCCAGCAGCCGCGGUAAUACGAAGGGGGCUAGCGUUGUUCGGAAUUACUGGGCGUAAAGCGCGCGUAGGCGGAUAGAUAAGUCAGAGGUGAAAUCCCGGGGCUCAACCCCGGAAUUGCCUUUGAUACUGUUUAUCUUGAGUGCAGAAGAGGUAAGUGGAAUUCCGAGUGUAGAGGUGAAAUUCGUAGAUAUUCGGAGGAACACCAGUGGCGAAGGCGGCUUACUGGUCUGCAACUGACGCUGAGGCGCGAAAGCGUGGGGAGCAAACAGGAUUAGAUACCCCUGUAGUC